GUUUGGUUCCAAGGAAAAGUAAUUCUAACUGCUAGCAUACUUGAGAAAGGGUAAAAAUUCAACAUGUCAAAUCAUCCAUUCAUAAAUGCACAUGCAGACACUAAUUCGCAUCAAGGGACAUACGUGCUAAUGCUGUAAUCGUCAAUUGGUAGUAGUUGUGGCUUGUGAAAUAGGAGUGAAUAAUUGCAGCAAACUAGGACACAACAACAACCACUAGAACAAUGUACUAGUGAAAGCAACAGAAUUGCUACUAUGAUGACUUGAGGGAGAGAGGCUUGCCUUGGCUGAAUUUUGAAGCUUUUGGGUCUUUCUUUGUCCCUUCAAAAAUCAGCCAUCUGUGCCUACUUGGAGUUAACUGAACUGCAGCGUCUUCGAGCAUAAGCAAAAACAGAGAAGGAAUAAGUGUCUGCAUUAAGUAGAAACUUAAAGGAUCAUAAAGUUGUGUCACAAAUAAUAUAAGCUAGACAUUUCACAGAUCUGCAUACAUACCAAUAAGCAGGCAUGAUGUUGAUACUUCUGUUGAAAAACAUCAUCUAGGGUGUGAUAUUUCAAUGAAAAUUUGCCGGGAUGGGGACCCAUCAAAACAUGUUGGAGUAGGAAAACAUAAGUUCUAGUUGGAAUCUGAAUGGAAUCAACAAAGGACUAU
rnacentral:misc_RNA from 1 species